rnacentral:rRNA from 1 species
AUCCUGGCUCAGAUUGAACGCUGGCGGCAUGCUUUACACAUGCAAGUCGAACGGCAGCGGGGGCUUCGGCCUGCCGGCGAGUGGCGAACGGGUGAGUAAUGCAUCGGAACGUGCCCAUGUCGUGGGGGAUAACGUAGCGAAAGCUACGCUAAUACCGCAUACGCCCUGAGGGGGAAAGCGGGGGGAUUCUUCGGAACCUCGCGCGAUUGGAGCGGCCGAUGUCGGAUUAGCUAGUAGGUGAGGUAAAAGGCUCACCUAGGCGACGAUCCGUAGCGGGUCUGAGAGGAUGAUCCGCCACACUGGGACUGAGACACGGCCCAGACUCCUACGGGAGGCAGCAGUGGGGAAUUUUGGACAAUGGGCGCAAGCCUGAUCCAGCCAUGCCGCGUGAGUGAAGAAGGCCUCGGUGUAAGUACGU